GUGGGGAAUAUUGGGCAAUGGGCGAAAGCCUGACCCAGCAACGCCGCGUGAGGGAAGAAGGCCUUCGGGUUGUAAACCUCUGUCCUUGGUGACGAAAAAAAUGACGGUAGCCAAGGAGGAAGCCCCGGCUAACUACGUGCCAGCAGCCGCGGUAAUACGUAGGGGGCGAGCGUUGUCCGGAAUUACUGGGCGUAAAGGGUGCGUAGGCGGCCGAUUAAGUUGGAUGUGAAAUACCCGGGCUUAACCUGGGGGGUGCAUCCAAUACUGGUUGGCUAGAGUGCAGGGGAGGGAAGCGGAAUUCCUAGUGUAGCGGUGAAAUGCGUAGAUAUUAGCAGGAACACCAGUGGCGAAGGCGGCUUUCUGGACUGUAACUGACGCUGAUGCACGAAAGCGUGGGGAGCAAACAGGAUUAGAAACCCCAGUAGUCC
rnacentral:rRNA from 1 species